UCCUGGAGCUCUGUGGUGUGUGUUGUGUUAAUGUGUGUGUUGUCCUGUCCUGUAGCUGGUCUCUUGUGGCCUGUUGGAGACUCUGAAGUUUAGUGUGCUGGAGUUACAGGAACACCUGGACACCUACAACGCCAAGAGGGAGGCAGCCGAGCAGUGGCUGGAGAACUGCAAGAAAACCUUUGGAGACAAAGAGAGCAACCAGAGAGCCGACACUCACACACAGGAGCUGGAGUUGUGUCGCCGGCUCUAUAAGCUCCACUUCCAGCUGCUGCUGCUGUUCCAGGCGUACUGCAAGCUGAUCAGCAGAGUGGACACAAUCAAGGGGGAGGCGGAGGUGAGACACCAGAUAUCAUUCAUACGUC